GUGUUCUGUUGUUAUAUAGCGGUAAGAUUUAUAUACACUGACUUUGUGACAGAUUAUGGAGUCAGAGCUGGAUGUUCUCAGUCGGUUGUCCAAAGUAGGGCAGGGAACACAGCUAUGCGUCCAGCUCAAGUGAUACAGCAGCGUUACAAGCCUCAGACACGACAGGAUUAAUCCUCUCAGGAUGAAUGAACUUUGUUUCUUUGAGCCAUUAUUAGCAAUCUCCCGCCUUCACCUCUCAGCUAACGUUCUGGUUGGAGAAGUGAGAUAAGCUUGAAAACAAACACACACACACACACACACACACACACACACACACACAAAAUGGCACUGAAAGUCCACGUUCAUCAGUCAGUAGAUCUUACACUUUAUGUUCUCUCUCCAGUCCUCUAGAUUGGGUAAACCAUGGGUAAGAAAGUCUUGCAGUGUUUUCCUUGGUACAAACGCUGUAAAGACCUGGGUAAAAGCAGGCUGUGCCCUCCUCUGCCUGUGCCAUCUGUUGAGGUGCAACCUGGCUUCUCUCCGACAGUCUCCUGGGGUUACGACGGAGAGGAAAGCGCCACACGUCCCGUCUAUUUUUCCCAUAAAGCACGAGUAGUUUAUCGCCACCAGAUGGAAGGAAAUAUUAUUGAUGCCACCUGCUGACCUCUGGGCUUCUUUCCCAGAAUCUCUUGCCUUGUACCUGGCUGUAGACGUCCAGUGUAGAGGAGCGUUGUAGGAGCCUGUUCCAUCAUGUGUAAUUAAACUAAAUAUUUUGUAUUUAGUAAAGAUGUCACAGUGUUUCCUCUGGUUCUUCCACCCUCUUGCCAGACCAUUCACCUGUCUUGUUCUUACUGUGUUGAAAUAUAAUAUAAUGUUUCAAGGGAAACAGAGUGUGCAGGCCACAUGUAAUGGAAAAACAGGAACUGAGCUGGAUUUUUAAAAUACAAAAUGUAAUGUAUAUGUGUUUUGUCGCGCAAAUCUGAUCCUGGAUGUAUGAUUGCUUGUUGUUUUUCAGAUGACAAACCACAGUUGGUUUUUCAGAGGUUUAUGAAUGCAUUUCAGGCAAAAGAAAACAUUUUGUACGAAUCACUGGAAUUAUAAUAUAAAAUGUAUGUACAUUUAGUAAUUAUCGUGAUAUAUUUUGAGUAUAAAAAAGCAGUUUGAGUAUUGAAUAAAAUUGUUUAAAUAU
rnacentral:lncRNA from 1 species